rnacentral:rRNA from 11 species
UCAGGGGGCCUAAAUAUCCUAAGGCACCAGAUCCUAUCUGAUCUUUGAAGCUUAAGCGAGGUCAGCUGUGGUUAGUACUUGGAUAAAAGAUUGUCAAUAAAACAACUGGCAAAAUCACCUGAC